ACUCACACUAGCCUGAGCAAAAAUGAGGAUUUAUUGGAGGAUCUUGGAGCAUCUCACAGAAUCUAAGAAACAGCCCAAUAAUUGAGCCAGCAGAGGGGCGGGGAUGUGGGUGGGCCUUAGAGACAUCUGGAACCAGGGAUUUGCAAGCCACAGCAGCCCCACCAGGUUCUUGUUUUUGCUUCUUGCUGCAGAUCAGCCUCAUUUGUUCUUUUCCCAGAAGACUGGUUUUGUCUAAGACAGAAAAUAUGACCACUGACAGCUUCUGAGUGUUGUAACUUGGAGGUUAUGUCAUGAGAAAGAAGUGAGUCUCGGUGUCCUUGAGUCUGAAAACACCAGAAGAGGGGCCUCCCUGGCUGUGAUGAGUCCUGCAGAGGAACAGGGCUAUGCCACCCUAGAAGAAAGAAGGAGUCAUGCCAGCUGCAGAGGCCCUGAUGAAACUCUGUCCUUCAUCUCUCGUGAAGCCCGUGGCAAGGGCAACAACCACCACAACAGUAAUGCUAGUAGCUAGCAUUUAUUAUGCACUUUGCCUCAGGCCCUGGGCUGCACUCUAUGUGGAUUUUUUUUUGAGAUGGAGUCUCGCUGUGUCGCCCAGGCUGGAGUGCAGUGGUAUGAUCUUGGCUCACUGCAACCUCACCUCCCAGGUUCAAGCAAUUCUCCUGCCUCAGCCUCUGGAGUAGCUGGGACUACAGGUGCGUGCCACCACACCCAGCUAAGUUUUGUAUUUUUAGUAGAGACAGGGUUUCACCAUGUUGUCCACGCUGGUCUCGAACUG
rnacentral:lncRNA from 1 species